rfam:Picea glauca, whole genome shotgun sequence.
AUAUGGUUACAACAUAACGUUAUUGCACUGGAUCCCAUUAGAACUUUGUAGUUAAGCACGCUAGUGCUAGAGUAGUAUUGGUAUGGGUGACCGCCCGAGAAGUCUUAGUAUUUGACAUGCC